rnacentral:piRNA from 1 species
UAGAAGAGGAUAGACCUUCGAAAAGUGAUUC